rnacentral:rRNA from 1 species
UACGAGGGGUGCAAGCGUUGCUCGGAAUUAUUGGGCGUAAGGGGUAGGUAGGUGGUCUCAUUUGUCCGGGGUGAAAGCCUUGAGCUUAACUCAAGAAGUGCCUCGGAAACGGUGAGACUAGAGUCUUGGAGAGGGUCGUGGAAUUCCCGGUGUAGCGGUGGAAUGCGCAGAUAUCAGGAGGAACACCGGUGGCGAAAGCGGCUCACUGGACCAUUACUGACGCUCAGGCACGAAAGCGUGGGGAGCGAACAGG